CUGUGUGGAUCUGUGUCGGUGAGAUAAAAUGAAUGUGGGUAUCAAUGCCUCCUGCUGUCAGGAUCAGUCCCUCCCCUGCCAGUGCUUCCGUGGAGGCACCAAUGAUCAUCCCCGGUGUUACCCCGUCCAUGAUCUGGGGAUUUCCGGCCUUUCCGAUACCGGAAAUUUUUCCGUCUUUAAUACCUAUAUCUGCCUUAUAAAUUCCUGUGGAAUCAAUGACCAGUGCGCUGGUAAUGACCAUGUCCAGACAUUCUUCAUCGGAAAAAGGAACGGCCUGUCCCAUACCAUCCCGG
rfam:Clostridium sp. CAG:167 genomic scaffold, scf108